rnacentral:ncRNA from 1 species
GAAAGCCGUGUGCGGUGAAAGUCGCAUGCACGGUUUGGGAAGAGGGAUAGGGAAACACACACAGCGUGAGCUAUGGAGGUGCGCCCCGUCCCUACUUCAU